rnacentral:rRNA from 1 species
ACUCCUACGGGAGGCAGCAGUGGGGAAGUAUUGCACAAUGGGGAAAGGACCCUGAUGCAGCCAUGCCGCGUGUGUGAAGAAGGCCUUCGGGUUGUAAAGCACUUUCAGUAGGGAGGAAGGUAGUGUAGUUAACACCUGCAUUAUUUGACGUUACCUACAGAAGAAGCACCGGCUAACUCCGUGCCAGCAGCCGCGGUAAUACGGAGGGUGCGAGCGUUAAUCGGAAUUACUGGGCGUAAAGCGCAUGCAGGCGGCCUGUUAAGUCAGAUGUGAAAGCCCGGGGCUUAACCUCGGAAUUGCAUUUGAAACUGGCAGACUAGAGUACUGUAGAGGGGGUA